UAGCUUACAGACAUUCUUUCUCUCUUGCAGUAGAAGAGGAAACCCAGCUGAGCAGCAAACCCAGGAAACCAGGAAUAAACCGCAGAUCUGAUAGUUGCAUCAUCAAGCUUUAACAAUGAUUGAAUGCUCAACAGAGACUUGUCUGUAAUGCUGAGGUCAGGUCUCUAGUUAGGAAAACCUGAGACCCUAAAACAUGAGAUGAUAAUAUUAGGGUGGGUGCCCAUGAGGACUUAAUUCUGCAAACCCUCUGAAUCCUUAGAGCCCAUAGAGGUGGGCCACCCUACCCCAUUAAGAUCUAGUCCUUGCUGCUUGUGGGAACACACUGUCAGGGCCUCUUCUCCCCCUUUCAAAGCUGCCCCUACAUUUCUUCCUGGCUGCUAGACUUAACACUAGAGUUAAAUUCCAGUGUAACCAUUUGGAGAUGCGAAAGACUUGAUAAAGGGAAAAACAGAUUUUACAAAGAAGCUAUAAGAAUUAACUAGUAUGCACUAGCAUAAGCUAGAGUGUACCACUGGGGUUGGAUAUUGAAGGUGCUUGGUGACUAGAGCAUAAGACUGCAUAAACAAGACUUCUCUGACUUAAGAGUAUUCUUUUGGAGUAUAGCAUUUAACACUCUGGCAGGGACCCCAUGGGAUAGAACAAAUACUGCUAUAGGGCCCUUAAAAGCCUUGUGAGGCAGGUGGAAGCAUAGUUCAGAGGUAGAGCGCUUAUCUAGCAUGUGCAAAGUUCUGGGUUUGAUCCCCAACAACACACACACACAUACACACACACACACAUACAUACACAUACAUACACACAUGGCUUAGAGAUAAUGUUGGCUCAUGCCAAGCAAAGUGGAAAUUCCUGAGUUGCUCCAGUGGAUGGUAGAAGAAGGGAUUAAAAGGCUGAGGAAAUCAAGAUGCUAUAAUGGGUACAUUUUGUGAGGCCAAAAGUUCUACUAGAGGAUUAUAGCUCAUAGGAGAACCCAGAGGACAUAUAAUUCAUUAAAGCCAUAGGAAUGUGCUGGCGAGAGGAACAGUAGUAGAUGAGAAUCAGUUUCAACCCCAAGACUGACUGCAGUGAUGGGGACUGUAGUAGGUCCUACUAACCUCCUUCUUCUGAGUUUCUCUUAAGUAAGAGAGAAUCAUAAGAAUCAUAGAGGAGUUGUUCUCUGAACAUGUAUGCAGAAUCAGAUCUGCCCAGUGCAAGGGGUGAUCUGCAGCAGCCAUGGAGGUGUCCCAUUUGGACAUCCCUACAGAAGAGAACCUGCCACAAGGGGUAGAGUUAGUUGAUGGCCUUCAGGAUCUGCCUCAGCAUUUGAGCUGAGGGCACAUGUUUCUCAGACAUCUCCUAAACAAAGAAUGGGCAUGGCAGUGGUGUAAGUGUUCAUCAUUUCUGGUCUUUGCAGGAUUCUUCUGCAUCUUAGAAAACCCGUUUGGAAUUUGCCAGAACUCUGAACCUUCAGAGGCUACAGAGGUAGCCCAUUCCACCCUGUUAAAAUUACAGGGCCACCUAUGUACCAAGCUCCCUAUUUGAUGGGCUGAGACUUUCUUAGAGCUGCUCUGCAGUCAGAGGCUUUCCCCACGCACAUAUCUUUCCUAGAACAUCUUCUUUCUCAGGUUUCAUUCUUGUACAUGAAUUAAAGGAUUUCAUUGCUGCUCCUUCUCCCUCUCUUCUUUAUGUUUCACAGGUAUCACCCCAGUAAACCUCUCACAUUCCUUACUCUGUCUUUCUGGAGAACCCAUCCUUGAAGUUUGGGAGUAAGUAUGGAACAUUGGGCAGUGAGAAAAAUCUGGUCAAUGUUUUGGCAGAAAACAAUUCACCCCAGAUGGUUCAAGUGAGGAAGUUUUAAAAAUAGCACUAUUUACAAAGGUAUGAUUAGGGUUAAGGGAACAAACAAGGGAUGACAAGGCACCCGAAGACUUUAACAGCUGGAAUCCACUACCCCAAAGGUUGAAGGGAAAAGAGGAGGAAGCUGUGGAAAUUCUACCAGAAGUCUGAGGGACUGGAGCCACGAUGGAGGGGUCAACUGCAUCAGUGGAGAUUGGAAAGACUGCUAAUGUUUGAGUUUUAUUUUUGAAAUGCCAGUUGUUACCAGGGAUGUGAAUAUAUAUGUGUUUUUAAAAAAUAUUUUAUUAGUUAUUGAUGGACACUUAUUUAUUUAUUUGUUUAUAUGUAGUGCUGAG
rnacentral:lncRNA from 1 species